GUAACAAGGUUUCCGUAGGUGAACCUGCGGAAGGAUCAUUAUUGAAUUUUGAAUGGGGUUGUAGCUGGCCUUUCAAAGGGCAUGUGCACGCCUCGCUUCAAUCCACUUACCCCUGUGAACACUCUGUAGGUCGGCUCAAGGGACAAAUYCUUAACGGGGUUUGUUUUGGGCCUUCCUAUGUUUUAUUACAAACGUUUAAAGUCUAAAGAAUGUACUCGCGUCUAACGCAUUAUAUACAACUUUCAGCAACGGAUCUCUUGGCUCUCGCAUCGAUGAAGAACGCAGCGAAAUGCGAUAAGUAAUGUGAAUUGCAGAAUUCAGUGAAUCAUCGAAUCUUUGAACGCACCUUGCGCUCCUUGGUAUUCCGAGGAGCAUGCCUGUUUGAGUGUCAUGGAAUUAUCAACUUGUUUAUCUUUGUAUGAACGCAGUUGGAUUUGGAGGCCAUUGCCGGAUUGUAAUGACUCGGCUCCUCUUGAAUGCAUUAGCUCGAACCUUUGCGGAUCAGCUUUUGGUGUGAUAAUUGUCUACGCCGCUAACUGAGACRCAUGAAUGGGAUYGGCUUACAGUCGUCCUUGAACGGACAAUUUAUUAUGACUUCUGACCUCAAAUCAGGUAGGAUUACCCGCUGAACUUAAGCAUAUC
rnacentral:rRNA from 1 species